rnacentral:lncRNA from 1 species
CACCCUAGAUCUAGUGCUUUAUGCUCAUCUUAAUCUGCAAGAUAGUCAAUUAGGUUAGAAGGAAAGAGAGACAGGUGAAGAGGCAAACAGAGAAUGCUAGAGGGAUAUGGAUGUAGAUAGAGCAAAUGAGAAGAUGAUGGUUGAUCUUAUGCUGAUCACCUGAGUGUGGGAAAUCUAUGAGAGAAAAUGAGGAGAAAGAGAGAGGUAGGUGAGGCAUCCAUAAGGAGGAA